rnacentral:rRNA from 1 species
AUGGUAUGAUGAGAUUGCAUGAUAGCAUCAUUAAAGAUUUAUCGGUGUACGAUGGGGAUGCGUUCCAUUAGGUAGUAGGCGGGGUAACGGCCCACCUAGCCAACGAUGGAUAGGGGUUCUGAGAGGAAGGUCCCCCACAUUGGAACUGAGACACGGUCCAAACUCCUACGGGAGGCAGCAGUGAGGAAUAUUGGUCAAUGGACGAGAGUCUGAACCAGCCAAGUAGCGUGAAGGAUGAAGGUCCUACGGAUUGUAAACUUCUUUUAUAAGGGAAUAAACCCUCCCACGUGUGGGAGCUUGUAUGUACCUUAUGAAUAAGCAUCGGCUAACUCCGUGCCAGCAGCCGCGGUAAUACGGUGGAUGCGAGCGUUAUCCGGAUUUAUUGGGUUUAAAGGGAGCGCAGACGGGUCGUUAAGUCAGCUGUGAAAGUUUGGGGCUCAACCUUAAAAUUGCAGUUGAUACUGGCGUCCUUGAGUGCGGUUGAGGUGUGCGGAAUUCGUGGUGUAGCGGUGAAAUGCUUAGAUAUCACGAAGAACUCCGAUUGCGAAGGCAGCACACCAAUCCGUAACUGACGUUCAUGCUCGAAAGUGUGGGUAUCAAACAGGAUUAGAUACCCUGGUAGUC